rnacentral:rRNA from 1 species
AUACGAAGGGGGCUAGCGUUGUUCGGAAUUACUGGGCGUAAAGCGCGCGUAGGCGGACUGAUCAGUUGGGGGUGAAAUCCCAGGGCUUAACCCUGGAACUGCCUCCAAUACUGCCAGUCUUGAGUUCGGGAGAGGUGAGUAGAAUUCCUAGUGUAGAGGUGAAAUUCGUAGAUAUUAGGAAGAACACAAGUGGCGAAGGCGGCUCACUGGCCCGAUACUGACGCUGAGGCGCGAAAGCGUGGGGAGCAAACAGGAUUAGAAACCCUAGUAGUCC